rnacentral:rRNA from 1 species
GGGGAAUAUUGGACAAUGGGCGAAAGCCUGAUCCAGCCAUGCCGCGUGAGUGAUGAAGGCCCUAGGGUUGUAAAGCUCUUUUGUGCGGGAAGAUAAUGACGGUACCGCAAGAAUAAGCCCGGGCUAACUUCGUGCCAGCAGCCGCGGUAAUACGAAGGGGGCUAGCGUUGCUCGGAAUCACUGGGCGUAAAGGGUGCGUAGGCGGGUUUCUAAGUCAGAGGUGAAAGCCUGGAGCUCAACUCCAGAACUGCCUUUGAUACUGGAAGUCUUGAGUUCGGGAGAGGUGAGUGGAACUGCGAGUGUAGAGGUGAAAUUCGUAGAUAUUCGCAAGAACACCAGUGGCGAAGGCGGCUCACUGACCCGAUACUGACGCUGAGGCACGAAAGCGUGGGGAGCAAACA